rnacentral:rRNA from 1 species
UACGUCGGGGGCAAGCGUUGUCCGGAAUCAUUGGGCGUAAAGAGCGUGUAGGCGGCUUGGUAAGUCCGCUGUGAAAGUCCAGGGCUCAACCCUGGAAUGCCGGUGGAAACUGUCAAGCUUGAGUCCGGAAGAGGCGAGUGGAAUUCCUGGUGUAGCGGUGAAAUGCGCAGAUAUCAGGAGGAACACCAAUGGCGAAGGCAGCUCGCUGGGACGGUACUGACGCUGAGGCACGAAAGCUAGGGGAGCAAACAGG